GCAUAUCAAUAUGCGGAGGAAAAGAAACUAACAAGGAUUCCCCUAGUAAUGGCGAAUGAAGAGGGAAAAGCCCAAAUUUGUAAUCUGGCUCUUUCAGAGUCCGAGUUGUAAUUUUAAGAACUGUUUUCAGUGCUGGACCAUGUACAAGUCUGUUGAAAAGCAGCAUCAUAGAAGGUGAUAAUCCUGUUCAUGAUAUGGACUACCAGUGCAAUAUGAUACAGUCUCUAAGAGUCGAGUUGUUUGGGAAUGCAGCUCAAAGUGGGUGGUAAAUUCCAUCUAAGGCUAAAUAUUGAUGAGAGACCGAUAGCAAACAAGUACCGUGAGGGAAAGAUGAAAAGAACUUUGGAAAGAGAGUUAACAGUACGUGAAAUUGUUAAAAGGGAAACAAUUGAAGUUAGACUUGUUAUUAUUAGUUCAACCUUUUCUAAGGGGGUAUUCUAAUGAUUAACAGACCAACAUCAAUUUUUGGGUGUUGGAGAAGGGUUUAAGGAAAUGUAGCAGUUUUUGACUGUGUUAUAGUCCUGAGCUUUGAUACAAUGCUUAAGAUUGAGGAAUGCAGUAAGCCCUUUCUUUUUUUGGGUGGAACAAAUUAUUGUUCUUCUUACUGAGGAUGUUGGUGCAAUAGCUUUAAAUGACCCGUCUUGACCC
rnacentral:rRNA from 1 species